rnacentral:rRNA from 1 species
ACGCUGGCGGCGUGGAUUAGGCAUGCAAGUCGAACGGAACUUCUAGCUUUUUCGGAAGUUUAGUGGCGAAAGGGUGAGUAACACGUGACUAACCUGCCCUUGGGCUCGGGAUAACUUGCCGAAAGGCGAGCUAAUACCGGAUACGUUCUUGUUUCUUAACUGGGACAAGAAGAAAGAUGGGGACUUCUUCGGAAGCCUGUCACCUUUGGAUGGGGUCGCGGCCUAUCAGCUAGUUGGUGAGGUAACGGCUCACCAAGGCUAAGACGGGUAGCUGGUCUGAGAGGAUGGUCAGCCACACUGGGACUGAGACACUGCCCAGACACCUACGGGUGGCUGCAGUCGAGAAUCUUUCGCAAUGGGGGAAACCCUGACGAAGCGACGCCGCGUGUAGGAUGAAGGCCUUCGGGUUGUAAACUACUGUCAGCUGGGAAGAAAGGUUUCCGGUUAAUAACCAGAAACC